rnacentral:piRNA from 1 species
UCCUGCACCGUGUCAAUCAGAGGAAACUGC